UGUAAACAAAACAUUUUAAAAAAUCAUGGAACUUCGAAAAGAUCAAACCGAAGGUGCCCAUUUAACAUAAGGAAAGGUUGGCAAAGAUGGAUCAUUAAUAUCCUUUAUUAGAAUUCCAUCAAGUAUUAUAUAGCUGACUGUUUUCUGGAAUCGAACCUACUAUCUUAGGGACAUAUGUAUCUCGAGAGUGUUCUGUAUCGAUGCAAGGCUGUGAUUAUGCCUGUGGUCGAAGCUUAAGUAGAGAGCCUGAUUUGCUUGUUGCAGACAUGCGGCAGAACUAGAGGCACGACCUCAUUCUCAACCGCUUUUUAUUAAUGAUUCCAUAUCGCUUCUCGCAGAUCAUUGUAACAAAAUAUUU